UGAGGAAUAUUGGACAAUGGGCGAAAGCCUGAUCCAGCCAUGCCGCGUGUGUGAAGAAGGUCUUCGGAUUGUAAAGCACUUUAAGUUGGGAGGAAGGGUUGUAGAUUAAUACUCUGCAAUUUUGACGUUACCGACAGAAUAAGCACCGGCUAACUCUGUGCCAGCAGCCGCGGUAAUACAGAGGGUGCAAGCGUUAAUCGGAAUUACUGGGCGUAAAGCGCGCGUAGGUGGUUUGUUAAGUUGGAUGUGAAAUCCCCGGGCUCAACCUGGGAACUGCAUUCAAAACUGACAAGCUAGAGUAUGGUAGAGGGUGGUGGAAUUUCCUGUGUAGCGGUGAAAUGCGUAGAUAUAGGAAGGAACACCAGUGGCGAAGGCGACCACCUGGACUGAUACUGACACUGAGGUGCGAAAAGCGUGGGGAG
rnacentral:rRNA from 1 species